rnacentral:rRNA from 1 species
AUGGAAGCAGUAACAAUAAAGCUGCUACCCGACGACGUGCUCGCGGACAUCCUCCGCCGUCUCCCGCCGCGCAGCCUCGCGACGUCACGCUGCGUCUGCAAGGCCUGGCACGACAUGAUCGACGCCGGCCACCUGCUGCGGGCGGACCUCCUUCCGCACACGCUCGGCGGGAUCUUCAUAGACUUCCGCUUCCUACAGGUCUCGGAG